rnacentral:rRNA from 1 species
UUUCCUCCGCUUAUUGAUAUGCUUAAGUUCAGCGGGUAUCCCUACCUGAUCCGAGGUCAACCUGGAUAGAUUGAUGGGGGUCGCCGGCGGGCGCCGGCCGGGCCUACGGAGCGGGUGACGAAGCCCCAUACGCUCGAGGACCGGACGCGGUGCCGCCGCUGCCUUUCGGGCCCGCCCCCCGGGAUCGGGGGGCGGGGCCCAACACACAAGCCGUGCUUGAGGGCAGCAAUGACGCUCGGACAGGCAUGCCCCCCGGAAUACCAGGGGGCGCAAUGUGCGUUCAAAGACUCGAUGAUUCACUGAAUUCUGCAAUUCACAUUACGUAUCGCAUUUCGCUGCGUUCUUCAUCGAUGCCGGAACCAAGAGAUCCGUUGUUGAAAGUUUUAACUGAUUUAGCUAAUCGCUCAGACUGCAAUCUUCAGACAGAGUUCAAUGGUGUCUUCGGCGGGCGCGGGCCCGGGGGCGGGUGCCCCCCGGCGGCCGUGAGGCGGGCCCGCCGAAGCAACAAGGUACGAUAAACACGGGUGGGAGGUUGGACCCAGAGGGCCCUCACUCGGUAAUGAUCCUUCCGCAGGUUCACCUACGGAAAUC